AUGAAAUCUACACUUCCUCACCUACCUAGCUAACUCAUUUAGAUCAUAACAAUAUUAUUUUUUUUCUUUUCCUACCACUCUAUCUGCAUAUAUAAUCUCUAUCCAUAUACGCUCAUUCUGAGAUUAGCCAUCUCUCCACAUCUCUUGUUCCCUUCACUUAACUCGAAAACCAACGAUUUUUAUUAUUUUCUAUGGCUGGGGCCGAAGACAAUAAUACUUACGACGUGUUUCUAAGCUUUAAUAUGGAAUCUACAAUACAGGGCAUUUUGUAGGGAAUUUUCGAUGUCGGCCAGCGUGAGCCGAAUGUGGAAUUUUAGGUUGCAGGUGUGUCAUUCAUACACCCUUUUCAUUAUCUUUGAUCAUUCAAACUUUUAUCCUUUCUGGACUGCAAACUAGUGACUAUAUGCUGAUAUACAAGGAUAUGGUGACUUGGAACUGUGUAUGCAUGGAUAUAGUAAAAACCGUGUUGAGCAUUAAAACAAUGACAAGAAAUUUGGCCAUCUAUUUCUUUAAUCAAAUGAUGGUAUUUGUUACAUAUCACCCCUUCAAAUUAGUUAUGUUAAUUAGUAUUAGUAAGGGUAUUUUGAUAACUUGUUAAUUUGGUAAAAGAUUGCAUUUAAUAUGAUUCCAUGUAAUGUCGCAUUCACUUUCAACAAUCCAAUUUCAAAAUCACCUGCUCCAUCUUCGAAUAUUACACCAUGAUCUUCAGCAAUUAUCAUCAAGGUCGAUUAGUUUGCCGGAAUCUUCACAGCUGCCACAACCAUUGCUUAGUGUCUCCACCUAGGGGUGUUUAAAAAACUCAUGGCUCGCAUCUCCCUCGAAACUCGCUCGAAAAAAGUUCGAAAAAAGCUCGGCUUGAAAUUGGCUCGGUUGUAAACCAGCCAGCUUGGCUCGGUUUGUAAACAAGCCGAACUCGAGUUUGGCUUGGCUCGUGAGCUCGUGAGCCGGCUCGAUAAGGUUUAUAUCCUUAUUUUUUUGUCCCACAUUGCUCAGAAGACAAAAACUAAGAGAGUAUCUUCUCUAUAAAAGAAGGUGACCUUAGGGUUUCUGAAGUGGGGAGGAAAGAAGCACAUCAAGAUCUGGACUGACUUAAUUGGUACACUCACACUCACCAACAAAUCAAUGACCUGUAAAUCAACAAUUUGGUAACCUAAUCACGAUAAGCUCCACCAUUUCAUUAUUCGUUCAAUCGCCGGAAUCUUCAAGACCGAUAUAUUUGGCGAUUAAUCGAUCUUAAUGAAAAAAUAUCAUCAGCACUUUUUUUCUAAAAUAAGCAGCACACGAGCAUAUAUAAUCGACACUUCAAUGCUUGUGUGCCUUUGUGGGUUCGUUCAUCUUCUGUAUUUAUUAGAUUGUGUGAUGUGAUUGUGGUGAUUACAAAUAUAUUGAUAUAAACACAAACAAAUUGAUAUUUCAACAUUUUAUAUAUAUGAAGGAAACAAGAUAACUAAGUUAGAAUAAAUUGCUAAAUGUAGUUAAAAGGUUGAGGGGCUAGUUGUGCAAAUAGAAAAAAACAUCCACCCAGUGUCACGCCUCUACGCGCCCCUCCUUUCCGCCCACUCACCCUCGCAAGCCUCACACGGGCCAGUGGUUGACACCUACUCGCCUUUAUCCAUUUGUUAAACCCGGCAAAUUUCUAGGUCAAUUCUGUACAUUAAUCUAAAACAUGCUUAUUCAAUAACAUGCAUUGAAAUUAUUUUGAGUAAAUUACAAAACUCGCCCUUUAUGUUAUCACCAGAUUACAAAAUGUGUCAUUUAUCUUUAAAAAGUACAAAAAACGUCCUCUAUGUUUGCAAACCCUUGCACAUUAUGUCCUUUAGCCGUAACUCUGUUAUUUUUCAUGGUUAAAUCAGACCAAGUGUACCUCACAUGAGGGUAUUUUGAUCAUUUUACCAUUUAUUUAUAAUAUAAAACAAUAUACAUCCACCAGACACACACAGUCUCUCUGCCAUCACCUCCACCAACCACUAGCCACCACCAUUACCUCCACCAAACAACCCUACCAACCACCACCAUGACCACCGCACCACCUCCAUUACUACUCCCAAGAGCCACCACACCCACCAGCCUCUGCACCACCAUGACUACCGCACCACCGUUUUUAUACUUUUUGAAGACAAAGACACACUUUGUAUUUUAUGUUUGCACCGCAGGCAGUUUGAGCAAAAAUCUCCUGAACAAAAUCUCGGGGUACCUCCUAGUUAUGAAGAUGUUGUGGCUAGCGGCCGUAGCCCCAAUUAUAAUAAGAGGGACAGAGAGACGAAAUCUGUAUCCCCACCACCUGUAACCACCAGUCAUGAAACCACAGUUUCUAGCGCCCCUCCAGCUGCUCCAGCAGCUAUUCCGCCGCCAGUCGCCGCUGCACCUCCUACAACAGCUCCAUCACAUCCACCUGCCACCACCGAUUAAUAAUCAACAAAUACCCAAAACCCACCACAUCCACCACCCACCUGCCACCAUUGAUUAAUCUCCAAUCAAUUAACCAACAAAACCAGUGGCGGAUCUUGCCCGUUGAACGUGCCAGGGUCAAAAGACACUCGCACUAAAAAAAAGCCCGGGCAAGCCCGCGCCAAACAUAGUAUAUAUAAAAAAUUUCGAUCGAAAUAAGGAAAAUUAGCACUACGGCCGAAAAACUUGCCCGGGUCGUAGCCCUGACAGUGGCCUUCUAAGAACCGCCCCUGAACAAAACCCAUAAAAUUAAACUAAUACCCACAAAAAAAUCUAACCUUUUAGAUCAUUUACAUCCGGUGGCUCGUGGUGAGAAACAGUGGGGGAGGAGGUGUUAACCCGGAGGCGGUGGCGGGGGUGGUGAGUGGAGGCGGUGGCGGAGGUAUUGGAAAGAGUAUAUUUUCCCUUAUUCUCCUCGUAAUCAUUCCUUUCUUUUGGCCUUGUGUUUAGGAACUUCCAUGUAGGGUUUCAAAGCCUCUGUAUUAUAUAGUCUCGUUCUUUUUCAUUGUAAGAGAUACAGACACAAAAAUACAAAACAAUUAAAAGAGCUCUUACCAUUGAAAUUAUGAUGGUAUCAGAUGUGACGCCUGUGUCAUUACGACCAUCACACAAAUGCAAAUCCAAUGAAAUAUUGUGUUUCAUACUUGGGAUUUGUAUAAAUAUGUGUAUCAUUUUCACAUAU